rnacentral:lncRNA from 1 species
UUUGUGUUGGCCUUUGAACUGCUGUGUAUAUUCACUCAUCAAACAGUAUACUUCCUGUGGGUAAAUUAUAUGGCAUAUAAAUGACUCUUCAAUAAAGCUGUUUAAAAUGUAUAUAUGUAUAAAAUGAACGCCAGUUGGUGAGGGAUUACCCUCUUCUAGGUAACUCUGUAGAAUGUCCUCAGUCAAUGGCUAUGAACUUGAAAACGAGGAGGGGGGCAGAAUUGGAAGCCACAGUUUUAUGUGACUAGGACACAGGUCCACACUCUGUCUGGGCCUCACUCUCCCCCUCUGACUCUCUGCUGGAGGAGGUGAGUGGUGCCGGCUGACAGAGCCUCUGCUCUGACUCCCUUGCCCAGCUCUCUGGGUGCUACGGACCCUCCGAUCAUACCAGGCAUCACUGUGAGCUUUGCCUUUGCCACAGAGCACUUCUGCCUUCCUGUCUUUGUGCAAAGAAUUUCCUCCCUCCAGCUCUGAGGAGCAAACACACAGCCAGGAACAAUUGGAAAAUCUGGGUUGGCCUGGCGUCGUUUCCCCCCAAGCCUGGCCCCUUUCCCUUGACCUGGACAAGAGAAGCAACCUAGAGAAAACCCCUUCACAGACUGAAUGGCUUAAGCACCUACUGGGCAAUAAAACACUGCAGGCUUUCCUCUCACGUGUCAGUCCUGACAUAUAGCCUCAUAGGAGAUCAGAGAUAGAGAGACACUUGUCUAAGAUCACACAGCUGCUAAGUGCUGAGUUUCCUGCUCUUUCCACUAGAAGACACCCCCUGGAAAGAGUCCAGGCUGCCUACUCAAGUAGAAGCUGAGUGAAUUGGCAUUGUCAGCUUCUAUACUAAUCACCUGCCUCCCUCCUCUGCCUCCUUAUCCUUCUUGUCAGAAUGCCGGGAUGCCUAAACGCCACCUCUUCCAGGAAGCCUUCCCUCAAGCCUCUACCCGCUUACCCAAAAAGUCAUGAUACCCACGUCCUCUGGGUGCUGGCAGCAAAGACCCAGAGCAUGAGAAGUUCCUUUCGGGAACUGGAACUAAGCUGGGCCUUGGAAAAGGAAAGCGUAUGGACCAUCUGACGCAGCCACUCAGUCAGAGGACUACCACUCAGUCAGAGGACUACCACCUGCUCACUUACAGGCUCCAGGUCUUCAGGUAAAUGGGUAACUCUGGGUCACACAGGCAUGGGUUUAGGGCCCAUCUCCUCCACUGAUUAGCCUUGGAACCUUAGGCCUUAGUUCUUCAUCUGUAAAGAGAUAAUUAAAAUGGUAAUAACGUGGCAAAGACUCGAGGUGUUCCUCAUAUCCAUAUUCUCUUCUUCUUUGUGGGCACCAGUCAGAAUGCAUUUCCCAGACCCCCCAGCUGUGUAAAGUGACCUGUGACUCACAUGGCCAUCUUUCCACAAAGGUCAGAAGUGCCGCUUCCAGGCCUGGCCCUGAUAAGCCUCCCACACAGGAAACAUGCCAUCUUCCCUCUCCUGCUGACUCAGCUGAGAGGAUCUAUGAGGGGAGCCACAAGGUGGAAGGGGCCCUGGGCCCCUUAAUGACUACGUGGGCAGAUCCCUGGCCCAGUCUCUAUGACCAGCACCAGACCCUGAUGUGAGCCUGAUGUAAGCUUUUAUGAUGAUAAGUCAUGGAAAUUUGGGGCUGUUAUCCUUAGUAAUACAAGUAGUGAGAAUUAUACUUAACUGAACGCUGCCUAUAUGCCUGGCCCUGUGUCACGUGGUGUAGAAGUAACUUACUCAGUUCUCAUGGCAGGCCUUUUUCUGCAGACGAGGAAACUCAAGCACAGAGGCAUCUAUGGCACAGGUUUACGGUGAGGAUUCAGUGAAAUAAGACAGGUGAGGCCCCAGCAUAAGUCAAACCCCACAGAAAGUGCUUCAUACAUGUUUGCAGCUAGUGCAAGUGAUUACUAUGGUUAAAGUGACCCCAAUGAGACCAGUCACAUUUGGGUUUG